rnacentral:rRNA from 1 species
AUUGAACGCUGGCGGCAGGCUUAACACAUGCAAGUCGAGCGGGCGAGGUUGCUUCGGUAACUGAGCUAGCGGCGGACGGGUGAGUAAUGCUUAGGAAUCUGCCUAUUAGUGGGGGACAACAUUCCGAAAGGAAUGCUAAUACCGCAUACGCCCUACGGGGGAAAGCAGGGGAUCUUCGGACCUUGCGCUACUAGAUGAGCCUAAGUCAGAUUAGCUAGUUGGGGGGGUAAAGGCCUACCAAGGCGACGGUCUGUAGCGGGUCUGAGAGGAUGAUCCGCCACACUGGGACUGAGACACGGCCCAGACUCCUACGGGAGGCAGCAGUGGGGAAUAUUGGACAAUGGGCGCAAGCCUGAUCCAGCCAUGCCGCGUGUGUGAAGAAGGCCUUUUGGUUGUAAAGCACUUUAAGCGAGGAGGAGGCUACUUGGAUUAAUACUCUAGGAUAGUGGACGUUACUCGCAGAAUAAGCACCGGCUAACUCUGUGCCAGCCGCCGCGGUAA